rnacentral:lncRNA from 1 species
AACAUGUUUUAAGGUAGGAGUAUAACAUAAAUGAUAACUAAGCAUUCACAUUUAAAGAAUCUCGCUUAAAUGGGCAUGGAUAAUUAUACCUUUACUUCCCUUACAGCUAUAACCAAGCAACAACACAAUGGGCCACAGUAUGAAGCACUAAGCUGUCCCUUUUGGGAGACACUAAUACAGGUCCAUUGGACGAGAACUUUGUGGGGACAAUUGGAAUGUGUGAGGCUAGCUACAUGGACUAGUUGUUUAGCUCCUUUGUGCCACAGUUUCUUCACAAGGAUAAGGGAAACUGAGCCAUCAAAUGGUGGAAUAACUCAACUGAGAUCACAAAGCUAACAAGUGUGGAUCUAGGAUUUCUACUCAAACAUGCUGUCUCCAAUACAUGAAGUACAGAGUUGGGCCAAC